rnacentral:rRNA from 1 species
UAGGGAAUCUUCCACAAUGGACGAAAGUCUGAUGGAGCAAUGCCGCGUGAGUGAAGAAGGUUUUCGGAUCGUAAAGCUCUGUUGUAACGGAAGAACAAGUACAGGAGUAACUGCCUGUACCUUGACGGUACCUUACCAGAAAGCCACGGCUAACUACGUG